rnacentral:tRNA from 1 species
UUUACUGUUAGCUCAGUUGAGAGAGCGUUAUACUAUAGAUCGAAAAGUCCCUGCUUCGAUCCCGGGUUCCGAGAAA